CGAUAUCAUGCAUAACAAUGAGUGGCACUUUGAUGCUAUCACUCAACCUCUCCCUACCUAUCCGAAAAAAUCUCAUAUCGAAUGGGUUAUCCAGCACCCUGACGGAUCCAUUGAUCUAAAAUUCCUAGGUUUUGAAGCCUCUAGACAUUCUUCAUUCCGACGAUCUGUCUCACACAGAGCUUCUACCUCAAGAAACCCUGAGGGAAGUGAGGACAAUGAUACUGACAAGGGAAAAGUUAAAGG
rnacentral:lncRNA from 1 species